CCGAAGCGAAGAGCUCAUCGGCAAGCAUUGUACGAAACAACGGCAGCGUCAGCAGAAUGUCCUCUUCCUUCUUCUCGGUAUGCUCGCUACAAUGCCAGCUAUUGCAAUAAUCCUUGUCUUCCUCCGGAAAGCAAAAGGGAGGAGUCGGCGUGGCCUUCGAAUAGGUCCCGCAUACAGCAGCGAACAGGGGGGUGUGCUCCCGGGUGUCAUGUCAACAAUCCAAAAAUCCAGGGGUUUAGACCAGAUGUCAGACGUGGAGAAGGACCCUGCGGCAAGCUGGAAUGGCAAGAUGUGUUCGGCACCAUCCCUGGGCAUCUCGGAGCAGGACCUAUCCUCAACCCAUGAAUAUCCAAGGC
rnacentral:sRNA from 1 species